CCUACGGGAGGCAGCAGUGAGGAAUAUUGGUCAAUGGGCUUACGCCUGAACCAGCCAAGUCGCGUGAGGGAAGACUGCCCUAUGGGUUGUAAACCUCUUUUGUCAGGGAGCAACGCCGGCUACGUGUAGCCGGACUGAGAGUACCUGCAGAAAAAGCAUCGGCUAACUCCGUGCCAGCAGCCGCGGUAAUACGGAGGAUGCGAGCGUUAUCCGGAUUGAUUGGGUUUAAAGGGUGCGUAGGCGGAAUGCCAAGUCAGCGGUAAAAUCGCGGGGCUCAACCUCGCUCCGCCGUUGAAACUGGCGUUCUUGAGUGGGCGAGAAGUAUGCGGAAUGCGUGGUGUAGCGGUGAAAUGCAUAGAUAUCACGCAGAACUCCGAUUGCGAAGGCAGCAUACCGGCGCCCAACUGACGCUGAAGCACGAAAGCGUGGGUAUCGAACAGGAUUAGAUACCCUUGUAGUC
rnacentral:rRNA from 1 species